UACGGGGGGGGCAAGCGUUGUUCGGAAUUACUGGGCGUAAAGGGCUCGUAGGCGGCCACCUAAGUCAGAUGUGAAAUCCCCAGGCUUAACCUGGGAACUGCAUCUGAUACUGGAUGGCUUGAAUCCGGGAGAGGGAUGCAGAAUUCCAGGUGUAGCGGUGAAAUGCGUAGAUAUCUGGAGGAAUACCGGUGGCGAAGGCGGCAUCCUGGACCGGCAUUGACGCUGAGGAGCGAAAGCUAGGGGAGCAAACGGG
rnacentral:rRNA from 1 species